UGGCGCCCUCCCGUUCGCGCUGCGGUAAACAAAUAAUCAGUUUACGUUUCGUUAAUCGUUCCUUUAUUUCUGAGUUCUGUUUCCUUCCCCCGAGUUUUCGAGUCUUUUCGAGUUGGGAAGAGAGGAGUUGGAGGAGACAGUUUUUUGGAAUGGUGUUUGGAAGGUGAUGAUUGGUAAAGAGUUGAAGAAGAAUGGUAUACGAAGAUUUCGUUUCGAAGACGAAGAGGGAUUGCAUGAAGUUUUUAAGAAGUUGAGGAAAAAUUAUAAUACAGGGUAAGAGUUGUGAUAAAGAUCGGUGGAGAUAAGUUUGCAUGGAAGGGGUUUGAUUUAAUUAGAAAGUUGUUGGAUCGGUAACGAUUUGAAUUUGAAGAAGAAUUAUGCGAGUUUAAUUUGUAAUUUUCGUUUGGUUGAGUUAGAUAUCUUUGAUAUGGAAGUUAAUGUUACAUUGCAAAAUAAUUAAAUUAUUUUUUUCUAAUUUGCGAUAAGAUUGCUAUCUAGUCUGAUAGAACAUAUCGUUAUGUAAUUGUUAAAAUGGUUGUAAUAUUGCGACAACAUUUUUUUGUAAAAUUAAUAAGAGAAAUUAUGGAACUAAUGACAAUACGAAAGUUUAAAAAGUUUAAAUUCAUGUUCUACCUAUUUAAAUAUCAUUAUCUUAAUUUGUUUCAAAUUAUGUAUAUUAUAUAAAUUGUUCAAACGUUUUCCAAUGACUUCGAUCGGUUAUAGUUAUUUGCCGAAAGAUAACGUAGAAUUUCUUCGAUUCGCAAUUUAAUGGAAUCAGAGCUCGUAUAACUUGAAAUUAUGGUUAACGUAUUAAUAAAUGCAAUUUCCGACGCGUGAAAUCACUGAAAAAAGAGAAACUUCUCUUCCAGAAAAGAAUGUGAAAACGGUUAAUCUCAAACACAAUUUUAUUUGCCUUGGCAAUUUAAAUUCAUUGAUUUUUAACCUAUAUAAUUUAUCUUAUCGAAAUUACCAAUCAAUAUGUAAUUAUAUUCACAAGUGAUAUUUAAGACCGUUAAAAAAUAUUUAAGCUAUAAUUUAGAUAAAAUAACUAUAAAGAAAAAAUCUUGAAUAAUUUAAAUAUAACAACACAAAGUGAUAAUUUUAAUUUUUCAUAUAUUAACACGUUCACUUCGAUUCAAAUUUCCAUUCCCUAUCCAACAAAUAACUUAACUUCGAAAUAAACUUAAUAUCAAUAAGAUUUCUGCAAAAAACAAAAAUAAAAAAAAAAAGAAAGUACCUGUACAAACCUAUAUAUAUCCAACAUUCGGUUUAAAUUCAUCCAUUCAAAGAGCAACUUUUAACUACUCGAUGUAUCAACGCGAAUCUACGAUCGAUACUUUCUAUUUUACAAAAAUAAAGAAAACUCAAACCUACACAAAUCCAAGAUUCAACAUUUUUCAAUCUAAAUCCACUUCGAUGGAUCCAAGGAGCACUUUUAAUCACUCGACACAGAUCCUCGAACGAGCGUCGCUAAAUUGUCGAUUUUCAAACUAUCAAAAGACUUCGAUGGCGAACGCCAGUCACGGUAGACCGAUCUCGCGGCAACUUCCCAAAGAGAAACGGGCAAAACUAGCAGCGAAUCGAGUCGAAACGCCUGCAGCAUCGUCUACCGAUGCUUUGGAAAACGAAACACGAGGAUAAUUGGCCCGAAAGCGCGUUUCGUUGAGCCGAUAUUACCACAUGUAUACGUGUUUACGUACACAAUACUUUCCCGCCACUUCUAGCACAUUCUUUGCUUUGAAGUUCACCGAGCUAUGCGCACACGCGUUCCUUCGUUUCUCUCAAGAGCGCGCUGCGAAUCCGUAGCAGCUUUCACGCGAUUCGAUCAUCAAUCACACGGCUCCCGUUACAAGGCGAAGAAAACGCGGAAGCUAGCUACGAUUCUAUCCAACCACUCGUCUCGACUGAACAAUCAUGGACCACUCUUGGAACAGUGUUUAAGAAUGUUUUUGCCAUUAUGUAUAUUAUUUUCUUACCAUUAUGAAUCGAAUACCGUUUCGUUGGAUUUUCCGUGUGACCGUUUAAUGGGAAUUUAUGGGAAAUUGUUGGUGGUUAUUCUGAACGUGUGAGAAGUUUGCAUGGAGAUUUUUGCGAUAUAUACAAAGUGUUAAUAUAUUCGUUAUCGCCAUUUAAAGAAGAAACACUUUGAUUAUAUCGAUUUUACGGUAUAAAAAAAUAUGAGAAUGAGCAAAUCAUUCUUUUUAAUAAUUUUCGUAUUAAUUAUCUUCGUUUUGAAUAGAACAAAAUUUAAAAAUUCAUAAUCAAUGCUCAUUGAAGAAUGUUAUACUCUUUGUAUGUAUAAAAAUCGAAACAGUGGACUGCGUACAUAAAAGACACAAAAUAUCCAAAAUAUAAUAGGCAUUAGUAGAUGUUUGAGGAAUAAAGAAAAUCUUUAUUCGAUCUUUAUCUUUUUUUUAAUCAUGUUCAUAAAAGUAUAAUUUUACAUAAAAAUCCGCAAUCCAGUUAUAAUUAAGGUUUGCGUUAGAUAAACUAGGAAAUAGAGUUAUCUUAUUCUUCCUGCGUUUCGCUUCGUUUAAUGAAAACUUCAAUUAUUUAUGACUUAAUAAAUAUAUCUCGCUCGACAUUUUUAUACUAAUUUUUAUAUUAAUUUUUAUGUUUGUUAUAACCUUUGUAAAAUCGAUUCUUCAAAAAUAUUAUACGAAUAUAUUAAACAUAUUUUAAAAUGUUACAAACUUUAGUUAUUUAUUCACUAAUUAUAAAUUUUAAUCAUUCAACUCAUCGUUCGUUAUUUAUGAAAAUUAUUUUGUAUUUCGUUCGAUUAAUUAAUUAAAAAAGAUAAUUUUAUACAAAUUCUUGCCUAGAUAUGCGAUCUCGUGCGCUGCUCGCUCUAUACUGAACUUAUUAAUAAUAUUGACUCGAGAUACGAGGAGCAUAUGUAUGUAAACAUUACGCGCAAUAGAGGAGAGUAUACGUAAACUCGACCGUAACUUCUUUGUUUUGUCGAUAUACUCGUCGCGUAAAAGUUUAAUUUCCGCUCGUAUAUAAGCAACUAUAUUAAUUCCCUUUAAUUAAUUAUAAUUUAAAUCACGAUGAGUAUACGAAAGUGAAAUCAGAGUUCAUUUAUUGAUCUAUUACGUUUAUUCGAUAUUUAUUUCCUAAUUCGUUAUUUGCUAUUGGCUUGAAUGUGAACAUAUAAGAGCGCUUAUUCAUCGAAGCCUAUUUUAUCGUAUCAUUAAUCGCGGUGGGAAACGAUAAUGGAGAAAGAUAAAUCGCAGACUGAACUCUCUUUGAUUCUACAAGUCGGAGAUUAUCAGAUCGAGCAUUUUUUCACCUCCGAUCUACCCUUUUUCAUAAAAAGAAAUAAACGAAAGAUAAGUAUUACGUAUCUUGCGUAUCGUUUCUCGUUAUUAUCUCAUUUUUCAAAAAGUUCACUUAUCGCAUUUUUCCACCUAUUUUUGUAUUUUUUUUGUACGAUUUACUAUCUCAAAAAAUUCGACGAACAAAAAACAUUUCAUCGUAUAAAAAUUCAAAUAUUAAUUGUGUAGCAAUUUAAAAAAAUAAAACGAUCCUCAAAAGUUAAAUUAAUAACGUUAAUAAAGAAUAUCAAAAAUUUUUUAAAUUACUUUCCUUUAUUUUAAUCGCUUUCUGUGGAAGAAAAAUCAGCAUAAUUUCAACAGAAAACGAAACGAUAAAUUUGAAGAGUUCAAAUUAACAUUUAAUUUUUAAUUUGUUUCCCAUUUUGUUUGACGAAUCGUUUCGAAAGCAUUCCAAUGCAAAUGGAUCGAAGAAGGACGCGGUGCGUGCGCACGGAGAAAGACGAUUCGACUUUUCCUUCGCAGACAGAAAAGGAACAAGGUGCAGAGGAACGAUUGAGAGCAAUUGAGGCGAUCGUUCGAUUUGGAUCUGUCUGAGUUUAAGCACCCACUCCAUUCUGCGCGACCAACCGCAGACGUUCGUUCCAAUGCUUGAGUACGCACUUAAACGUCUGAAUCUUCGUCUGCAAAAAUACUACGAUUCUUUCCAGGGAAAGUGACCUCCGUGAUCUUAGGGACAAAGUGAUCAUAGGGGAUCUUGGACAAACGUGUUUCUGUUACCCCUUCUUUGAUUGAUUCAACGAUGUUUGAAAUUAAUCGUAAUUCGUGUGUGUGCGUAUCGUUCUCCAAUAAAUAAUAAUUGUUACACUUUUUUUCUUCUUCUAAUAUUAAUUCUACUCACACGAUAAUCAUUUAGUAUUGCAAGCGAAUUCAACUUAAUAUUUUAAAUGGAUAAAACGAUAAUUGAAUAUUGUAAAUGAAUUUAAUAUUUUAAAUGGAUAAAAUAAAUUUAUUAAAAAAAUCAGAAGAAAAGACGUAUAUACAGGUAAAUGAAAUUUUGUAAUUCUCGAACGAACGUAUGAUAAUUAUUACACAUACUUUUAAUAUUAAUUCUACUCACACGCUAAUUGAAUAUUGUAAGCGAAUUUAAUAUUUUAAAAUAAAUUUAUUAAAAAAAUCAGAAGAAAAGACGUAUAUACAGGUAAAUCUACGUGAUGAAAUUACUGAAAUUUUGCGAAUAUAUUACACAUAAUUUGAUACACGAGUUAGUGAAUCGAAGACGCAAUCGCAGGAACAUGAAAUAAAAGAAACGACGCGAGCGUCAUGUUGACGAGAAAGAAUAUCGGAUUAUGCGAACGGAUAACACACAUAAGACAUCAGACUACGGUCGACGAUGCAGCUUCGUUUCUGGUCGUGAGAUCAUAUUUAUAAAUCGAGUCGCGGAACGAUGAUGGAGAAUCUUUGAAUAUCUCUUCUCUAAAAUUAGGAGGAUGGUCUCGAAGGAACGGUUUCGAAAUUCUCGCGGCCCAUUUCGAGGCCUGGAAAUAUCACGGGAUGAAAAAAACAUCGACGAAAUAUUUUUCAACUUCUUACAGAGAAGAAGAGAUUUCGAAUAGCGAGAAAAUUCGAAAUUUUGGAAAAUAUUGCGGGGACGACGAAGAGGAAAACUUUUUGAAAGACAACAAUUUCGAGUUCUGGAUGAAUAUUGGGAAAAUUUAUAUUCUCGUAACGAACGAUUGGAAGAAGAAAGUAUACGGUUCUUUGAGUGGAAUUAAUUUGAAAGGAGAUAAAAAUUUGCGUAAGAAAUAGGUUAUAAUUAAAUAGUAACUGUUAUUCAAUUCUAUUGUUGUCAUUGCGGCAUGCAAUUCUUGCAUCUAUUAAUAUUUUUAUUGGAAAAUUGCUAAUAUUAACUAUUACUCAUAACAUUAACUAUAAAGAACCUUUAUUAUUACUUGCAAAAAUAUAUCUAGUAGAUAUAUUAUUACGAUUGCAUAAUACAUAUAAUAAAACAGGAAUAAUUUUGCAAUUUCAACGAUCAUUCAAUUUUCUCGUAUCUUCUUAGAGUGGAUAGAGAACACUUCUUACUCGUAAAUUUUAAUCAAUAAAAUUAUAUUUGAAUUAGAAAUAAAAUUAUUAAUUUAAUAUUAUUAUUUACAGUAAAUUUCUUUCAAACCGUUUACACCGUUCCCGAUGACUCUAUCUUAUCUGCACUAUUGUUUACAUAUAAAUGAUUAGAAAAAUAAACUUACGAAACCAAUGAACGCUCGCCAUUUAUAAACGAGCCACGGACGAUUGGAAAGCACUCGUUCAACUCACAUUUUUACCAUACUUUCUUAACGAUAUCGUGGAUAUCGACGUCUAAUAAUACGAAAAUAUUCUGAAUUUUAAAGAGAGAGAGAGAGAGAGAGAAACACUAAUAAAUUCCAGUCAGACACAAAAUUAUCCUAUUCAAUUAUACUUGCAAUGACUAACUAUGGUAAUGAAGAAUCAAGUUUCGAUAUUAACAUAUAUACGCAACGAGCAGAAUAACACGGAUAAAUACGUAAUUAAACGUGUUCCUCUCAUUGUUUUAUUAUUCGCAUUAUGAAUUUCCCUUUGCGUUUUUUUUUUUCUAUCAUCGCCACGAGGCCAACAAUUUUUCAAUCGUCAUCAUCAUCGCCUUAUACAUCAUCUUUCUCGAGAAUAUUUUCCCCCUUCGCGGGGAAAUAUCGUGUAUCAACGCUGAUCAUCCUCUCAAAUCGGAUCGGCGGAGGGACAAGAAGCGAAUUAUAUUUAUGCCUUGCACAGCCGUGCCGCUAACUCGAGGUAUGCGCUCGCGUCAACACACAUAUAUCUAGUUAAAUAUACGCCUGUAUAGAUGUAGGUGUAACACAUCGCGAACAUAACCUUAUUAAUCUUAUUUCAUUCCACCGCCAAGUCCGGAAGUCGUUCGAGGUGGUCCGAGUCGUCGCUCGCCUGAAUUCUUGCCCGAGUAUUUUUGCUUUAUAUUUGUUGCCUAUCCACGUAGAGAAAAAGCAAAGGGUCGAUGUUUUCAUCUAUUUUUCUUUCUUUCUUUCCUUCCUUCCUUCCUUCCUUCCUUCCUUAUCUUUCUUACUUCGUCAUUCCCAGUUUUUUGCUCGAUUAACGACAAAGGGAUACUUUUACGCAUGCGCGGGUCCACCAACGAUGACAAAAUCGUACAGGAGUUUGUAGAUAUAUAUUCGUUCGUUACGUAUACGUGUUUAUUACGAUAAAUUGUAGGAAAGGGAAUCGGUAAGAGGGAAUAUUUUCUAUUUAUAUUAUUCAGAGAAUUUGUGUGUGUGAAAAUAUAUAUUCUUUUUUAUAAAAGUGAGGUAAGACAUUGCCAAGAAAAUGUGUCGUGUUUCGUACAUAUCGUGGAGAUGACGCAUGUUAUUGAGCAUUGUCGCUCGCAGACAAUCACUGGCAACAAAAGUGAACGUGCAAUUCGUGUUUCCAUUUUUUCUUUUUGGAAAAAAAAUUACGUUUUCCUAUUCCCCGAUGAUUUUUGAAUAUAUAAACCGAUUAAAUAAUAUUUAUUUAAAAUGAUUUCAAAAUUUAUAAUUCUCACCAUCGUGGUGUACUUUUAUGUUAUUUUUUUAUAUUAUUUUGUAUUAAAGGCAUCUCGUUCCUUCUGGUCGAUGAUUCGAAAUUUUAUUUUAGCUACUCAACGAUAAUAUACGAGUAUAUGCACGUUCAAAGAAGAACACGAUUUGGUUGAAAAAAAAAAGAAAAUGAUAUAAAAUCAAGAACGGAGGAGGCACAAAGGAGUGGAUUCGGCGAAAUUUCACGAAUGUCCACAAAAACUAAGGCGGAGGGGGAUUGAUUACGCCUCUCGUUCUAAGAAGCUAUGGUUCGAGGAGAUAAGAUCGGGAACAUCACCCAGAUGGGGUGAAGAAUUCGUUUCCUAAAAUGCUCGAUUCAAAGUGUGUAGACCGCUUGUCCGAUCGUCGAACUAUCAAGGAAAUGAAUCAUUAACCGAGCAAGGGUCGUGGCAGAGAUUAAGAUUAAUUGCCGGAGAUGUCAAAUCGAAUCCCGUGAUGAUCCAUGAAUAUGAACGAUGAUCCAUAAUUAUUAUGGUAUCACGAGGAAGAGGCAUGGUUGAAACAUGGUAGAAACAUUUAGAAUAAUUAUAGAUUAGAAAUAAUAUUUAUCUCGAGAUAAAAAAAAAAAGAAGAGGAUUUUAGAAAUUAUUCGUGAAAAGAGAUUCAUAAUUGUAGCGUUGUGAGAGAAGAAAAGAUUUAAAUAAAAUUUAGAAUAGUUGUAAAUUUGGGAUAAUAUUUAUCUCGAGAUAAAAAAGAAAAAGAAAAAGUAUUUUAGAAAAUACUUUAUCUAUCAUUGCUUGAAAUUAUCUGAAAUUAUCUACAAAUGAUAUAUCGUUCCGUUGCAGAGAUAGAAAAGAAUGAACUAAUUUUAUUUUGCGAAAAUUAUUGUUGAAAUUUCUGUGCUAAAUAAAUAACAAAUAAAGUUCAAAAUCCACAUAUAUUUCCAAAUAUAAAUAUUUACGCAAAGUAUUUUUAAAUGCGAUUAAAAAAUAAAAAAAGGAAUAAUUUAACUCGAGAAUUUUUUAAGAUGUUUGGUAUAGGCUUCAACUAUUCCGUCUAACAUCAAUCGUCCUAGUUUCACAAAGCUAGAAGACUUGUUAUGACUUCGUGACAUUAUGAUAUUAUGCCCCUGUUCUGUCAUCGGAUGACAACAGACUUAACACCGCCUGCUUUCAAACGUAAAUACGUUAUUCGAUUUGAUCGAAUGAGUCACGCGGUCUAUCUCUCAUCUUAUCGCCAAGUCUAUAUAUUUCUAAAAAAAAUUUCGUAGACACCCCUUCGAACUUUCAUAAAUUCAUUCUUUCAAAAUAUACAUCCAUUUACCUUCUUUGUGAACUUUCUAUAAUACUCUUUAUCUAUAUGAUGUUGAUAUAUCCGUGAGACCUUUCGACAGUCCGUAUCUCUAAGAGACCUAAAUAAACACAUAUACAAAAAUAUCGCUUGAAAUUUACUUAUUAAGUUAUUAAGCAUAAAUCGAAGUUUACAAUUAAUAUUUAUCUCUCGUUCGAUUCAACAAAUAAACUAACGAUUAACUUUUAUAUCUUAUUAUAAUCCAUAAAACUAAAGAUAUUUUUACACGAAUAUAUAUAUAUAUAUGGAACAACAA